CUGAGGAAUCGAACCUAGGGCUUCAUGCAUGCUAGGCAAGUACUUUACCACUAAACCACAUUCCCAGCCCCAGCAUUCACUUUCAACUGGAAUUAACUUAAACCUUUUUUGGUUUUUUUUGAUGGUCUUGGGGAUUGAAUUUUGCAUCAUUUUUGCUAUUUUUUGUUUAUACAUGAAACCACUUCUCAGAAAACCUUCAACAAUCAAGCUGUGUGUGUGUGUGUGUGUGUCACCAAGCAAAAAUGUGUGUGUGUGUGUGUGUGUGUGUGUGUG